rnacentral:lncRNA from 1 species
CAAGGGCACGGCCCAUCUGCGGGUGACCCCGGGGCUGUGCCGGGCCAGGCAGCGCCUGCAGCACAGCUUCCCCAGGCUGUGGCGGUGGGUGCAGGAGCGCUGGAGGCACUGCCGUGCACAGCCCUUUUGGCAGCGCUGGUCCUCCGUGGGGAGGAAGACUCCCUGAGCCCGAGUGUGGGGCCCGGCAAUGCCACAGCCCCACCGCGCUCCCUCCGGCUCAGACCGCUGAAGGGUUUCCCUUCCCGGCUGCUGCUGAUCCCUUCCUAUCCCGGGGUCACACAGCCCAGCAGUGCCCCCGAGCAGCGAUGGGGCUGCACCCAUCCUGGGGCUGUAGCACAGAACUGCAGAACCUCAGCCCGGUUUGGGUGGGAACGGCCCCCAAAGCCCACCCCGUGCCAACCCCAUGGGCUGGGGCUGCUCCCGUGGGCCGGAUGGUAAAGUCCCCUCUGCGGGAAUGGAAUGCUUUUCUCUGUAACAGCAAGGUAAGAAUUUUAUGUCAUGGCCAUCGUGCAUCACCGAUUGGGUACGUGGAGUAAUGUAUAGGAAGAACUAUUGCAAAAUAAUCAGCAAUAUACACAUACAGCCAGCAACACUUCGUGUUAGCCUGUAAGGAUGUGUAUAUGCAAUAUUUCACCGCCUGCUCAGGUGCAGUGCAGGAAUAUCCUGCAUGAGAGAUGGAUGACCACAGAGAACCAGGCAUGACAUGCCCAAGGAUGUGGCUGAAGAGGCAUCAGGAAGGCCUGGCACCUCCCUGUGCUUUGUGUGUUAGAAAGAACCAUCCUUUGGGUUGAAAGGAAUGGCCAGCGACAGAAUCACCACGGCAGGACCAUAAGAAGGGUACCGAGACAUCCUGGAAACAGCAGGAUGGUGUCCAGCAUGCACAAGAUAGACUGUGAAUUAACAGUGUCAGAAUGGAGUUACGAGAUGGAAAUGUAAAUCUCCUGCUUGCAGGAUGGCCACCAUUGCAACCUCAAAUAAAAUCUGCUUUUAUCAUUAAUACUGUCCUGACAAAUUAUGGGAUAUUUCCAACACCUCUGUGGCCCUGUGGUCUGCAGUGAUGGGCACUUGCACUUCUCCCUGCCAUGACCACUCCACCCUGUGGUGAAUAACGCCUCACAUCUCACCUGAAUCCCCUCUUUUAGCUUAAAGCCAAUGCUCCUUUGAGGCAAUUGAGGCCCGGAGUGAGGUGGGAACGAUCCAAAUUCAAAUCCAAACCCUUCACUGCAGGCUCUGACACAUCUUAUACACAUCUCCAAGCUCCCUCCUGUCAUUCUCCAUCCCCCUUCAUGUCCAUAGAACACUUAACAAUUCUCCCUCACGUCCUCACACCGACUGCCCACACAGUGCCCAUCCCAUCACAGCCACACGUUGCUUCAGUUCCUGCACUGCUCCUCCACUCAGGGUGGUCACCAUGCGGGGAUAUGGCCCACCCACCUGACGCCUGCUCUGCUCUCCUGCACACAGCCUUUCUUCUCAGUGUCCUCAUACACGCUUGCCAGUGUUGAUUCUCAGCCUCCAUUCUGAACACUGUC